rnacentral:rRNA from 1 species
UGGGGAAUAUUGGGCAAUGGGCGCAAGCCUGACCCAGCAACGCCGCGUGAAGGAAGAAGGCUUUCGGGUUGUAAACUUCUUUUAUAAGGGACGAAACAAAUGACGGUACCUUAUGAAUAAGCCACGGCUAACUACGUGCCAGCAGCCGCGGUAAUACGUAGGUGGCAAGCGUUAUCCGGAUUUACUGGGUGUAAAGGGCGUGUAGGCGGGACUGCAAGUCAGAUGUGAAAACCAUGGGCUCAACCCAUGGCCUGCAUUUGAAACUGUAGUUCUUGAGUGAUGGAGAGGCAGGCGGAAUUCCGUGUGUAGCGGUGAAAUGCGUAGAUAUACGGAGGAACACCAGUGGCGAAGGCGGCCUGCUGGACAUUAACUGACGCUGAGGCGCGAAAGCGUGGGGAGCAAACAGG